GCACCCGUAGCUCAGAUGGAUAGAGCGCUGCCCUCCGAAGGCAGAGGUCACAGGUUCGAAUCCUGUCGGGUGCGCCA
rnacentral:tRNA from 2 species